AGAGUUUGAUCAUGGCUCAGGACGAACGCUGGCGGCGUGCUUAACACAUGCAAGUCGAACGAGGUCCAUUCAGUAGCAAUACUGAUGAAGGCCUAGUGGCGAACGGGUGAGUAACACGUGAGAAACCUAUCCUGGUCUCUGGGAUAACAGUCGGAAACAACUGCUAAUACCGGAUGCCGUCGGAGCGCUGCAUGGCGCACUGACGAAAGGGUUACUGGAUCAGGAGGGUCUCGCGGCCUAUCAGCUUGUUGGUGGGGUAACGGCCUACCAAGGCAUCGACGGGUAGCUGGUCUGAGAGGAUGAUCAGCCACACUGGGACUGAGACACGGCCCAGACUCCUACGGGAGGCAGCAGUGGGGAAUCUUGCGCAAUGGGCGAAAGCCUGACGCAGCAACGCCGCGUGCGGGAAGAAGGCCCUCGGGUUGUAAACCGCUUUCAGAAGGAACGAAACUGACGGUACUUCAGAAGAAGGUGCGGCCAACUACGUGCCAGCAGCCGCGGUG
rnacentral:rRNA from 1 species